rnacentral:rRNA from 1 species
GCUCAGAUUGAACGCUGGCGGCAUGCCUUACACAUGCAAGUCGAACGGUAACAGGUUAAGCUGACGAGUGGCGAACGGGUGAGUAAUGUAUCGGAACGUGCCCAGUCGUGGGGGAUAACUGCUCGAAAGAGCAGCUAAUACCGCAUACGACCUGAGGGUGAAAGCGGGGGAUCGCAAGACCUCGCGCGAUUGGAGCGGCCGAUAUCAGAUUAGGUAGUUGGUGAGGUAAAGGCUCACCAAGCCGACGAUCUGUAGCUGGUCUGAGAGGACGACCAGCCACACUGGGACUGAGACACGGCCCAGACUCCUACGGGAGGCAGCAGUGGGGAAUUUUGGACAAUGGGCGCAAGCCUGAUCCAGCCAUGCCGCGUGCGGGAAGAAGGCCUUCGGGUUGUAAACCGCUUUUGUCAGGGAAGAAAAGGUUCUGGCUAAUACCUGGGACUCAUGACGGUACCUGAAGAAUAAGCACCGGCUAACUACGUGCCAGCAGCCGCGGUAAUACGUAGGGUGCAAGCGUUAAUCGGAAUUACUGGGCGUAAAGCGUGCGCAGGCGGUUAUGCAAGACAGAGGUGAAAUCCCCGGGCUCAACCUGGGAACUGCCUUUGUGACUGCAUGGCUAGAGUACGGUAGAGGGGGAUGGAAUUCCGCGUGUAGCAGUGAAAUGCGUAGAUAUGCGGAGGAACACCGAUGGCGAAAGCA